AACGAACGCUGGCGGCAGGCCUAACACAUGCAAGUCGAACGAAGCCUUCGGGCUUAGUGGCGGACGGGUGAGUAACACGUGGGAACGUACCUUUUGGUUCGGAACAACUCAGGGAAACUUGAGCUAAUACCGGAUGAGCCCUUAGGGGGAAAGAUUUAUCGCCGAAAGAGCGGCCCGCGUUAGAUUAGCUAGUUGGUGAGGUAAAGGCUCACCAAGGCAACGAUCUAUAGCUGGUCUGAGAGGAUGAACAGCCACACUGGGACUGAGACACGGCCCAGACUCCUACGGGAGGCAGCAGUGGGGAAUCUUGCGCAAUGGGCGAAAGCCUGACGCAGCCAUGCCGCGUGAAUGAUGAAGGUCUUAGGAUUGUAAAAUUCUUUUACCAGGGACGAUAAUGACGGUACCUGGAGAAAAAGCCCCGGCUAACUUCGUGCCAGCAGCCGCCGUAACAC
rnacentral:rRNA from 1 species